rnacentral:rRNA from 1 species
GACGAACGCUGGCGGCGUGCUUAACACAUGCAAGUCGAACGGAAAGGCCCUGCUUUUGUGGGGUGCUCGAGUGGCGAACGGGUGAGUAACACGUGAGUAACCUGCCCUUGACUUUGGGAUAACUUCAGGAAACUGGGGCUAAUACCGGAUAGGAGCUCCUGCUGCAUGGUGGGGGUUGGAAAGUUUCGGCGGUUGGGGAUGGACUCGCGGCUUAUCAGCUUGUUGGUGGGGUAGUGGCUUACCAAGGCUUUGACGGGUAGCCGGCCUGAGAGGGUGACCGGCCACAUUGGGACUGAGAUACGGCCCAGACUCCUACGGGAGGCAGCAGUGGGGAAUAUUGCACAAUGGGCGGAAGCCUGAUGCAGCAACGCCGCGUGCGGGAUGACGGCCUUCGGGUUGUAAACCGCUUUCGCCUGUGACGAAGCGUGAGUGACGGUAAUGGGUAAAGAAGCACCGGCUAACUACGUGCCAGCAGCCGCGGUGAUACGUAGGGUGCGAGCGUUGUCCGGAUUUAUUGGGCGUAAGGGGCUCGUAGGUGGUUGAUCGCGUCGGAAGUGUAAUCUUGGGGCUUAACCCUGAGCGUGCUUUCGAUACGGGUUGACUUGAGGAAGGUAGGGGGGAAUGGAAUUCCUGGUGGAGCGGUGGAAUGCGCAGAUAUCAGGAGGAACACCAGUGGCGAAGGCGGUUCUCUGGGCCUUUCCUGACGCUGAGGAGCGAAAGCGUGGGGAGCGAACAGGCUUAGAUACCCUGGUAGUCCACGCUGUAAACGGUGGGUACUAGGUGUGGGGUCCAUUCCACGGGUUCCGUGCCGUAGCUAACGCUUUAAGUACCCCGCCUGGGGAGUACGGCCGCAAGGCUAAAACUCAAAGGAAUUGACGGGGCCCCGCACAAGCGGCGGAGCAUGCGGAUUAAUUCGAUGCAACGCGUAGAACCUUACCUGGGUUUGACAUGGAUCGGGAGUGCUCAGAGAUGGGUGUGCCUCUUUUGGGGUCGGUUCACAGGUGGUGCAUGGCUGUCGUCAGCUCGUGUCGUGAGAUGUUGGGUUAAGUCCCGCAACGAGCGCAACCCUUGUUCACUGUUGCCAGCACGUUAUGGUGGGGACUCAGUGGAGACCGCCGGGGUCAACUCGGAGGAAGGUGGGGAUGACGUCGAGUCAUCAUGCCCCUUAUGUCCAGGGCUUCACGCAUGCUACAAUGGCUGGUACAGAGAGUGGCGAGCCUGUGAGGGUGAGCGAAUCUCGGAAAGCCGGUCUCAGUUCGGAUUGGGGUCUGCAACUCGACCUCAUGAAGUCGGAGUCGCUAGUAAUCGCAGAUCAGCAACGCUGCGGUGAAUACGUUCCCGGG